rnacentral:rRNA from 1 species
GAUGAACGUUGGCGGCGUGCCUAACACAUGCAAGUCGAACGCUAGUAGCAAUAUUAGAGUGGCGCACGGGUGAGUAACACGUAGCUUAUCUACCUCCCAGCGCGGGAUAACGGUUCGAAAGAACUGCUAAUACCGCAUAAGCUCACGAGCUAUAGAGGCUGGUGAGAAAAGGCUUAGGUCACUGGGAGCGGGGGCUGCGGCCCAUCAGCUAGUUGGUGAGGUAACGGCUUACCAAGGCGACGACGGGUAGGGGACC